GAGUUUGAUCCUGGCUCAGGAUGAACGCUAGCGGCAGGCUUAAUACAUGCAAGUCGAGGGGCAGCGCAGUGUAGCAAUACAUGGGCGGCGACCGGCAAACGGGUGCGGAACACGUACACAACCUUCCUUUAAGUGGGGAAUAGCCCAGAGAAAUUUGGAUUAAUACCCCGUAAUAUUAUGAGAUGGCAUCAUUUUAUAAUUAUAGCUCAGGCGCUUAAUGAUGGGUGUGCGGCUGAUUAGAUAGUUGGCGGGGUAACGGCCCACCAAGUCUACGAUCAGUAACUGGUGUGAGAGCACGACCAGUCACACGGGCACUGAGACACGGGCCCGACUCCUACGGGAGGCAGCAGUAAGGAAUAUUGGUCAAUGGACGCAAGUCUGAACCAGCCAUGCCGCGUGGAGGAUGAAGGCCCUCUGGGUUGUAAACUUCUUUUAUCUGGGACGAAAAAGGGCUUUUCUAAGUCAACUGACGGUACCAGAGGAAUAAGCACCGGCUAACUCCGUGCCAGCCGCCGCCGUAAAACCUGG
rnacentral:rRNA from 1 species